rnacentral:rRNA from 1 species
UACGUAUGGUGCAAGCGUUAUCCGGAUUUACUGGGUGUAAAGGGAGCGUAGGCGGCCCGUUAAGUCUGAUGUGAAAGCCCGGGGCCCAACCCCGGGACUGCAUUGGAAACUGGCAGGCUGGAGUGCCGGAGAGGUAAGUGGAAUUCCUAGUGUAGCGGUGAAAUGCGUAGAUAUUAGGAGGAACACCAGUGGCGAAGGCGGCUUACUGGACGGUAACUGACGCUGAGGCUCGAAAGCGUGGGGAGCAA